rnacentral:rRNA from 1 species
AAGCUCGUAGUUGAAUUUCGAGACCGGCUUACUGGUCGUGCUUUUGUACGUACUGGUAUAAUCGGUUUCUCCUUUCUGACGAACUAUAAUGCCAUUAAUUUGGUGUUAUAGGGAAUCAGGACUGUUACUUUGAAAAAAUUAGAGUGUUUAAAGCAGGCUCACGCUUGAAUACAUUAGCAUGGAAUAACGGAAUAGGACGUUUGAUUCUAUUUUGUUGGCUUCUAGGAUCGACGUAAUGAUUAAUAGGGAUAGUUGGG